UGAUCCAGUGGUGUCAUCAUCUGUUCUUGUGAUGUUACACCCCCAGUAGUGCCAUUACCCAUUCUGGUAUCGCAUUCACCACCAUAUCAUUUCGAAUCCAGAAACCCACCAAUAUUUUUUCAUCACCUCUGGCUGAGAUUUCUGAAGUAAAAAAGUUGUGGAGUUGCCCUCAAAAUAAUAUGAUUGUAUCAUCACUACAAAGUAGAGCCUUGUUGCUUCGGCAUAGCUCAUUUUGCACACUUGGCGCAAAGGAAUGGGUAGAUGGUUCAGUAAUAGACUUCUUUGUUCAUUUACUGGCAAGGGACACGGAUGUAUAUGUCUUGGAUACAUUUUUAGUGGGUUGUAUUCUCGAGGAGAACAACAGUGUGCUAAAAAGAAACAUUUAAAAAAUGUAAGUUUUAAAUAAUUUGUGUUUUUUGAGCCAUUUUCUUAACAUGGGUAUGUGUUACAAGUAAACUUUGCAAGGUAUAAAGCUUUGAUUGGAGGAUAUAACCUGAAAAUCAUUGGAAUUUGCUGGUAAUAUGUUUCGAAACUUUGUUAAAUAUGUAACAAUUUAAUAAUGUUUCAGUUAUUAUUACAUCAGUUUGUAAAUGUGAUUUUAUAUUCCUUGCAGUACAUUCAUUUGCCAACAAAACAAUGUUUUUAGUGGAACCCUUUCAAAACUGCAUCACUGAUGUAAUCGCAAAAUUCAGAAAUUACCUCAAAAUUCGCAACAACAAAUUUGACGAUCAGCUUUUAAGGAAAAUAUGGACACAGGGCAAAUUAACCCAUCCAAAACAAACAGACUCUUCUAGCUGUGGGAUAUUUGUGUUGAAGAUUGCCGAAGCUUUGUUAAGCAAUAAGAAGAAAAUAAGAAAGAGGAUACAUUUCGACAACAAAAAAAUUAAUAAAUUUAAGAUACAGUAUUGCUGUAAAAAUUUUACAAAACUCAGAUGACCUGAAAACCCUGUGCAGUGUGUGUGGUAGCUCACAGGAAGUAACUCAAUCACCUUGGAUUGGAUGUGACAUAUGUUUCCGAUGGUAUCACCGGAAGUGCAUUAAUGUUCCGAAAAAAUCUUUCGAACAUGUCAAAAUAGAAGAAUGGAAAUGUCCUGUUUGCAUUUGUCAUACAGAAUAUGAAAUAAAAAGUCAACAGCUGAAUCAUUUAUCAAAUAAAGAGUUUGAAGACAAAUUUCAAACUGCAAUAAAAUUAAGUUCAGAAAAGGGAAAAAUCAUAGACGCUCUUGAGAAAACAAGCCAAACUGGCAUUAAAUGUGGAACGGAAAAAGACUUUAAUACCUGGUUUGCAAAACUUCAAGUCGAUUCAGCCAACCAUAGUCCUGAAACAAGUGCACUAUUGAGUUUAAAUGAUGAGAAACAAUCCAUUAUUUCCAGAACGUUGUCACAAUUCAUCUGUGAUUUUCCGCAAUAUUUUAUUGAAUAUGAUUUAAAUGAUGAUUUCAU